rnacentral:rRNA from 1 species
GAUGAACGCUAGCGGCAGGCCUAAUACAUGCAAGCCGAACGGCAAGUCUUAUAGCAAUAUGAGACCUAGAGUGGCGUAAGGGUGCGUAACACGUAUGCAAUCUGCCCGCAACCGGAGGAUAGCUCCCCGAAAGGGGAAUUAAGACUCCAUAAAAUGGAGAGGUGGCAUCACCAUUUCAUUAAAUUACAAGAGGUUGUGGAUGAGCAUGCGCAUGAUUAGUUAGUUGGCGGGGUAAGGGCCCACCAAGACGAUGAUCA